GGUCUGGUGGUGUAGCAGUUAACACGCCUGCUUAAUAUUGAAGGAAAGUGUAGACUUUAAGCGGGAGGUUCCUUGUUCGAAUCAAGGCCAGGCCG